ensembl:misc_RNA Metazoa_SRP Metazoan signal recognition particle RNA
GCCAGGUGUGGUGGCCACACCUGUAAUCCCAACACUUUGGGAGGCUGAGAUGGGAGAAUCACCUGAGGUCAGGAGUUCUAGACCAGCCUGGCCAACAUGGUGAAACCCUGUCUCUA